CCUACGGGAGGCAGCAGUAGGGAAUUUUGCGCAAUGGGGGAAACCCUGACGCAGCAACGCCGCGUGAUCGAUGAAGCCCUUCGGGGUGUAAAGAUCUGUCAGUGGGGACGAAACCUGACGGUACCACCAGAGGAAGCACCGGCUAACUCCGUGCCAGCAGCCGCGGGGAGACGGGGGGUGCAAGCGUUGUCCGGAAUCAGUGGGCGUACGGAGUUCGUAGGUGGCACGUUAAGUCUGGGUUUUCAGGCGGAAGCUCAACUUCCGUAGGGCACUGGAUACUGGCGGGCUUGCUUGCGGUAGCGUUAACGGGAAUUCCUGGUGUAGCGGUGAAAUGCGUAGAUAUCAGGAGGAACAUCGGUGGCGUUCGCGCUUUACUGGGCCGUAAUUGACACUGAGGCACGAAAGCCGGGGUAGCAAAUGGGAUUAGAUACCCCUGUAGUC
rnacentral:rRNA from 1 species